rnacentral:misc_RNA from 1 species
UCGUAACAAGGUUUCCGUAGGUGAACCUGCGGAAGGAUCAUUAUUGAUUUGACUAUACUUUUGUGGAUAUUUAAUUACAUUAAACUCAUCAUAUCAUUUUUAAUUAUAACUAUCAACAACGGAUCUCUUGGCUCUCACAUCGAUGAAGAACGCAGCGAACCGCGAUAUUUUUUGUGACUUGCAGAUGUGAAUCAUCAAUCUUUGAACGCACAUUGCGCGGUGUGGUAUUCCGCACCGCACGGAUGGAAGAGCGUGUUCCCUUUGGGAUCGCAUUGCUUUCUUGAAAUGAAUCUAUUACUUCCAAUAUACAUCAUUUCACCUCUUUCAUCCGAGAUUACCCGCUGAACUUAAGCAUAUCA